UUUUCAAGGAAUAACGUGUUCAAAAAUCUGUUACCAUAAAAUUGUGGAAAUUUAUGGCCUCCCAACCAAACUGAUUCCAUGAAUUAUUUCCUGUCGAUGCUAUCAAGCACACCCUAAGAAUAAAGGCACAUCUAUUACCUUCAUUAAUUAUGAUCAUCAAAUCCCAUGGCUUACUUAAGAAAACGAGCGUAACUAUCACCUUCCUUAAUUACGAUCAAAGGGGUACAUCCCCUUGUGUAAAAGUUGCUUUUAUCUGUAAGAGUUUAAGAAAUAAAAGUAUCUAGGGUUUAUGGUUUGCGACGAAGAGAUCGAAUUGUGAAAAUAGGAGCAUCAGAAGAAGAAUCUGGUAAAGAAGGUUUCAUUUCUACAUUGAUUUCGCGAUGGAGGAUAGGAAUUAUCAGGGGAUGAAAACCGGUAGAAGUUAUCAUGUUGUGGAACUUGAGAAGGGUAUCAAAUCUGAAAUCCCAGUGUAUCGAUACAACAAUCAUCGUCAAAUCAAGUGUGCUUUUCACAUUGAGGAGUUACAUAUUACAAAUAUAUUUGAAAAUGAAGAAGAAGAUGCAGAUGCAGGAGAAGCAGUCGUUGAUGUAUUAGGUUGUUUCCGUAGAGAAUUUCCAGACCUUGCAAUUGAUACUACCGUUUACUUCGUCUAUGGGGAUAUAGUUGUUCCUGCAAAAAGUGGGAUGGAAUCAGUAUAUGAAGCUACAAUCCUUCCUAAUCUCCCCGGAGGUGUUAAAUUCUUUGUGAUGGCGUAAAAGCUGCCAGCCAAGUCAUGAAGUUCCGAUUUCCAUCUAAACCUGCUAGGUCAGAAGCCGAGAGAGAACUCGAAGAAAGACUAGCUCAUCUCCUGCUGUUCAACAAGGAAGACCAUCAAGAAUCGCUAUCUAGAUUGAAACAAUGUGAUAACAAGGAUACCCAUACUGAAAUAGUUCUCAGGGAGUGUCUGCAAGAAUGGAUAUUUGAUGAUCGUAAGAGUGCAUACUCACUUGAUGACGAAGGAUGCGGAGUUAUCCAUCUCGUUGCUUCUCUGGGAUAUGCAUGGGCCAUUGGGAUUCUCGGACUGCUCCAGUUCAUAUUAGAUUUCAAAGCCGCAUUCGGAUGGACUCGGCUGCGUUCCAUGGCAGGAGAGGAGUGGUUACAGCACUUUUGGUUGGUGGUGCAGACCCUGCUUUAUGUACUGAACAGGACACCAAAUGCUUCCCUAGUGGAUGCACCGCAGCUGACAUCUCUGCCAGGAGUGGCCAUGACCUUCUUGCUGCUUAUUUGCAAGAGGUAAGGUUAGAACCCUCGAAGAUUCUGAGGUUACCUCCUCCUGUCCGGAAAGAAGAACCAAGGUAUUUGUACACAUAUAGGAGAUAUCUUAGUACAAAUCGUCAAGGGUUGUUGAAAGCUGAGGGAACUCAUCAUCCAGUAGAAUUUGAGAAAGGUUUGAAGUCUGAUGUAACCGUGUAUGAAUCUGAUAAUCAUCAUCAACAGAACUGUCCGUUUCACAUAUUGCAGUUGUAUAUUGAUAUGGAUCACGAUUCUCAAGAACCACUUGUUAAGGUAUUUGGGGAAUUUCUGGAGGAUAAUUUACCUCCUAAUGAAGCAAAUCCUCUAUUUGUAUUUGGUGAUUUAGUGGUUUCUGCAGAACGUGUGUCUGAAGGUCUGUAUAAGUCUAUUUUCCUUCCUAAUCUACCUGGUGGGUACGAUUUUUAUGUGAGUCUUUAUGGUAUUACUCCAAUUAGCCAAAUUCUGAAAAUUGAGUGCCCAUCUAGAACUAAGAAAAUGUCGGAUAUCGAGGUAUGCCUUUUUAAAAGGUUAGCUAAAUUGCUGGUGGCGAACGAUGAUAACCUUAAAUGUUUGAGCACUAAGUUUGGAGAACGUAAUAUGAAGAAGUUACCUAACGAAGUUGUUAUGAGGGAACUUGUUAAACAAUGGAUAUUUGAAGGUUGCAAAAUAGGCAUGGCUCUUGAUGAGCAAGGUCAGGGAGUUCUACAUCUUGUUGCUAGUUUGGGAUUUGAUUGGGCUAUCGCACUAUAUGCACGCAACGGAUUCCCUGUAGAUUAUGAAGAUGCCUUUGGCUGGACAGCAUUGCACUGGGCAGCUUAUUACGGGAGGAAAGAAGCAGCUAUGGCACUGUUGAUAUCAGGGACUGAUCCAUCUGUACUUACUAAGCCAACUACUGAGUACCCCAAUGCAAGCAAGGCUGCUGAUAUCGCUCGUAGCUGUGGCCAUGAUGAUGUUGCUGUUUAUCUGGAAAAGGGAUCAAAAGUUCAACGAAAGCGUAUGCACCCACUUGCAAAAAGAGGCAAGAGUUCCUUGAACUGAAGUUAGCCUGUGUGUCAGCAAAUCCAGAAUUUGAGUAUAUUAUACGUGCAACAACUGAAUUUUGAGAACUUACUCAUCUCUGGAGAGCAAUGACAGCUGGAGGUUUAUGUAGGGGGUCCUAUAAUCCAACUAGUAGCGGUAGGUAAUUGUGCUAUAAGAGGUGGGCAGGGCCUGUUAUUGAUCCAGGUAAAGGUAUUAUUGCCCAAGCGUGACUCAUUUCUUAUCUCGAUAAUAAAACUGUAAAGUAGUGACUGGGUGGCAUAUCUAAUCUAAAUAUCUACCUUCCAAAAUCAAAAAUCUAUCCAUGCCUCAGUGGUUUCAUUUGCAGAGUAUGAAGAUGAGAGAAAAGGAGAGGCAGGAAGGUAAAAGGUUAAGGGGCUAAAAUUAUAGUUCACCAAUUUCACUAGUUUAGUCCAUCACGUCCAGAAAAAAUUUCCGCGACUUUUGGUCGCCCUUGCUGUUUCACGGUAAUAUUUUUUUGAACACCCCUUAAUUUGAAAACCUGGCUCCGCCACUGGAAUGUAGGAAGGAAUUGAAAUGUCAAAAAAGUUUAUCGGAUUAUUAUCUGAUGCCUUGUUAACUAGUUGCUCAAUGGGCUAACUUUUUUUUUGUGAAUUGGUUAUAUAUCGAAAGAGAAAACUGAAAACUAGGAAUCGACAGACUUACAAUAUUAAGUGUUGGUGAUUGUUUCCGUUCAAGGAGGUUGACGCCCUAAUGUUACCACCGUUUAGGUACUCUCAUAUUCAUGUCGUAUUUAUUAGCAAAGCAGGAAGUAACCGCGGGACCUCAUUGAUGGGACGAACCUCUUGACUUUCAAUCGCCCACCGGAGCUGACAGACCAAGCUAUGUUUCAUUUUGGAUAAGUUGUAACAUGUUUUUAUUAUUUUUCCCUUCUUGUUAUUUUUGGGUUAUGGCCAGGUCCCCUCGUUCCUUUUUACCCGUUUUGACGCAUACCAUUUUUUUUUGGGAGGCAUGGCCAAUGCUUACCCUAACUAGUGUAUGUUGAGUA